AACGCGAAGAACCUUACCUAGACUUGACAUCUCCUGCAUUACCCUUAAUCGGGGAAGCUCCUUCGGGAGCAGGAAGACAGGUGGUGCAUGGUUGUCGUCAGCUCGUGUCGUGAGAUGUUGGGUUAAGUCCCGCAACGAGCGCAACCCCUAUUGUUAGUUGCCAUCAUUCAGUUGGGCACUCUAAUGAGACUGCCGGGGACAACUCGGAGGAAGGUGGGGAUGACGUCAAAUCAUCAUGCCCCUUAUGUUCUGGGCUACACACGUGCUACAAUGGGUAGAACAACGGGAAGCAAGCUAGUGAUAGCAAGCAAACCCCUAAAAAAUACCCUCAGUUCAGAUUGUAGGCUGAAACUCGCCUACAUGAAGUCGGAGUUGCUAGUAAUCGCGAAUCAGCAUGUCGCGGUGAAUACGUUCCCGGGUCUUGUACACACGC
rnacentral:rRNA from 1 species